rnacentral:rRNA from 1 species
CGCCUGGGGAGUGCGGCCGCAAGGUUAAAACUCAAAUGAAUUGACGGGGACCCGCACAAGCGGUGGAGCAUGUGGUUUAAUUCGACGCAACGCGAAGAACCUUACCUGGCCUUGACAUGCAGAGAACUUUCCAGAGAUGGAUUGGUGCCUUCGGGAACUCUGACACAGGUGCUGCAUGGCCGUCGUCAGCUCGUGUCGUGAGAUGUUGGGUUAAGUCCCGUAACGAGCGCAACCCCUAUCCCUAGUUGCUAGCAGUUCGGCUGAGAACUCUAGGGAGACUGCCGGUGACAAACCGGAGGAAGGUGGGGAUGACGUCAGGUCAUCAUGGCCCUUACGGCCAGGGCUACACACGUGCUACAAUGGUGCGCACAGAGGGCUGCAAACCCGCGAGGGGGAGCCAAUCUCACAAAACGCAUCGUAGUCCGGAUCGCAGUCUGCAACUCGACUGCGUGAAGUCGGAAUCGCUAGUAAUCGUGAAUCAGAAUGUCACGGUGAAUACGUUCCCGGGCCUUGUACACACCGCCCGUCACACCAUGGGAGUGGAUUGCACCAGAAGUGGUUAGUCUAACCUUCGGGAGGACGAUCACCACGGUGUGGUUCAUGACUGGGGUGAAGUCGUAACAAGGUAACCGUA